rnacentral:rRNA from 1 species
CAUCCUGGCUCAGGAUGAACGCUGGCGGCGUGCUUAACACAUGCAAGUCGAGCGAAGCGCUUUUGCGGAUUUCUUUCGGAUUGAAGCAAUUGUGACUGAGCGGCGGACGGGUGAGUAACGCGUGGGUAACCUGCCUCAUACAGGGGGAUAACAGUUGGAAACGGCUGCUAAUACCGCAUAAGCGCACAGUACCGCAUGGUACCGUGUGAAAACUACGGUGGUAUGAGAUGGACCCGCGU